rnacentral:tRNA from 1 species
UAAACUGAGGCCAGAUGUUGUUGGGCGUUCGGCUGUUAAUCGAAUUUUCGUAAGUUUAAAUCUUACCAGUUUAG